CCCCGAGCAAGCUCCUGAGUCUGGUUCUCUCCAUCCUUCAAGUUCAGAACUCACCCAACAUCCGUAAUGUGCUCCAAGCCACGAAACUGCAUGAAACGUGUUGGGCUGCUUGGAACCCGGCGAGGCCCAACAUGUGCUAGAAGAAUAUUGAUGUCACAACCUUGACACGAAUAUGCCAGCGAUAUUGAUCCCAGCGGAUGCGCGAGGGACGUUUAUUCACAGAACGAAUGGCGUUCGUGUGGAAUUACACGCAGCCGUCACUGGUGCCGCUUCAUCUCCCCUUGCACUGAAGCGUCGCACGUGUUCGCCCCCCCCCGUCACCUGAAGCGGACCCUCAGCGCGGGGCCGGGGCUGUACGCGCUGAUUGACGGAGGCCGGAGGAAGUGACAGCGUCUCCCACUCUGGGUUCGACGGCAGUCAGGGGUCGGGGUCAAGCGGAGGGGGGUGUGGACAGUGGACAGGGGACAGUGUAUCUCUGGUGGCCUUGAGAGUGUGUUGUCUGUUUGAAGGUAAGUCCAUGUCCAGGAGAGCAGAAACAUCAGAGACGGGCUGUAUUUAUACGGCCCGCCCCCCAGCUAUAGAAGCCCACGGCGCACUUCACGGCGGGAAGGCCGGGCCUCUGCACAGCUCAUCGCUGUUUGAAGACAAGACAGGAAAGAAGUGAGAGGUGUAUCCAGACACCGAAAGGCAGAGGGGGACGUUUCUUCCCUGCCGGAUUGCUCAUGAGAGCGGCACUCAGUGACCUCAGACGCUGAACAGCGUCUCCUAACGACCACCGGGACAAGGUCUCACUCUAGACGGCGAGGAGGUGGCGGCCGCGGCUCUUCCCCUCAACAUCUGGCCGUGGCGACCCCGUGGCGAGUCGUCCCGAUUAGCGGCUCGCGCCCCUCUUUAAUUCCGCCGGCCCCUUUUUUUUUUUUUUUUGUUGCACCUUCGUCCCCGACCGACCCCGAAGGAUUUGUUCUCACGGAGAAGAACAGUAAGCAGCCAGAGAGCGGCAUCUGUUUCGGCGCCUGCAGCGGCGCCCACGUCCUUAAGCAUCUUCGCAGUCACCUGACAGCACAGAUGGCGCCAGGUGACCCAAAUACCACAGAGCAAACAAACACGGGGCAAAAGGUCAACAUCUGCGCGUCAGGGUUUAGACAUUCGUAUGCAUGCACAGUUUAUCAUUUAUUUACUUGUACAUGGAAACACCAAUUCACGAACACGUCUCCGUUCUUUUUAAUGCGAGGAACUGAGACGGAGUUAAGCUGAAUUGCAAUACGCAUGGCAGCUGGGGUUGAAGCUAUUUAUUAUUCAGUAUGGUCGGUGAAGCAAGUGGAGAGAGGGAGGCAGCGGGCAGACGAGGAGUAGGUGGAGAUACGGUGCAUUUUGUGGUUGGAAAUGCGAUUCUUCACCUGUUUAAGCAUCGGAUUCUAAGUGUGUCAAUGUGGUGAUCCACACCGUCUAAAAACCCGUUUUCCAGGAUGCGAUAGAGUCAAAUAUUCAUGCAAGGUUUUUAUAUCAGAUCGCAUAACGUAUCAUUGAGCGGGUGUUGUUUUUAAUGUGCUGGUAAACAGAAUUACAGAUCAAUCC
ensembl:lncRNA